rnacentral:lncRNA from 1 species
GCUAGUGGAGGAGUGUGUAGAGGGCUAGUGUAGGAGUGUGUAGAGGGCUAGUGGAGGAGUGUGGAGGGCUAGUGGAGGAGUGUGGAGGGCUAGUGUAGGAGUGUGUAGAGGGCUAGUGGAGGAGUGUGGAGGGCUAGUGGAGGAGUGUGGAGGGCUAGUGGAGGAGUGUGUAGAGGGCUAGUGGAGGAGUGUAGAGGGCUAGUGGAGGAGUGUGUAGAGGGCUAGUGGAGGAGUGUGUAGAGGGCUAGUGGAAGACUGUAGAGGGCUAGUGGAGGAGUGUGUAGAGGGCUAGUGGAGGAGUGUGGAGGGCUAGUGGAGGAGUGUAGAGGGCUAGUGGAGGAGUGUGAAGAGGGCUAAUGGAGGAGUGUGGAGGGCUAGUGGAGGAGUGUGUAGAGGGCUAGUGGAGGAGUGUGUAAAGGGCUAGUGGAGGAGUGUGUAGAGGGCUAGUGUAGGAGUGUAGAGGGCUAGUGGAGGAGUGUGUAGAGGGCUAGUGGAGGAGUGUAGAGGGCUAGUGGAGGAGUGUGUAGAGGGCUAGUGGAGGAGUGUGUAGAGGGCUAGUGGAGGAGUGUAGAGGGCUAGUGGAGGAGAGUGUAUAGGGCAAGUGGAGGAGUGUGUAGAGGGCUAGUGGAGGACUGUGGAGAGGGCAAGUGGAGGAGUGUAGAGUGCUAGUGGAGGAGUGUGGAGGGCUAGUAGAGGAGGGUGGAGGGCUAGUGGAGGAGUGUAGAGGGCUAGUGGAGGAGGAAAGAGGGCUAGUGGAGGAGUGUAGAGGGCUAGUGGAGGAGUGUGGAGGGCUAGUGGAGGAGUGUGUAGAGGGCUAGUGGAGGAAUGUGGAGGGCUAGUGGAGGAGUGUUUAGAGGGCUAGUGGAGGAGUGUAGAGGGCUAGUGGAGGAGAGUAGAGGGCCAGUGGAGGAGUGUUGAGGGCUAGUGUAGGAGUGUGGAGGGCUAGUGGAGGAGUGUGUAGAGGGCUAGUGGAGGAGUGUGUAUAGGGCUAGUAGAGGAGUGAUUAGAGGGCUAGUGUAUGAGUGUAGAGGGCUAGUGGAGGAGUGUGUAGAGGGCUUGUGGAGGAGUAAAGAGGGCUAGUGGAGGAGUGUGUAGAGGGCUAGUGGAGGAGUGUGUAGAGGGCUAGUGGAGCAGUGUGACGAGGGCUAGUGGAGGACUGUGGAGAGGGCAAGUGGAGGAGUGUAGAGAGCUAGUGGAGGAGUGUGGAGGGCUAGUGGAGGAGGGUGGAGGGCUAGUGGAGGAGUGUAGAGGGCUAGUGGAGGAGUGUGAAGGGCUAGUGGAGGAGUGUGUAGAGGGCUAGUGGAGGUGUGUGGAGGGCUAGUGGGGGAGUGUGGAGGGCUAGUGGAGGAGUGUAGAGGGCUAGUGGAGGAGUGUGUAGAGGGCUAGUGGAGGUGUGUGGAGGGCUAGUGGAGGAGUGUAGAGGGCUAGUGGAGGUGUGUAGAGGGCUAGUGGAAGAGUGUGGAAGGCUAGUGGAGGAGUGUGUAGAGAGCUAGUGGAGGAGUGUGGAGGGCUAGUGGAGGAGUGUGGAGGGCUAGUGGAGGAGUGUAUAGAGGGCUAGUGGAGGAGUGUAUAGGGCAAGUGGAGGAGUCUGUAGAGGGCUAGUGGAGGACUGUGGAGAGGGCAAGUGGAGGAGUGUAGAGUGCUAGUGGAGGAGUGUGGAGGGCUAGUAGAGGAUGGUGGAGUGCUAGUGGAGGAGUGUAGAGGGCUAGUGGAGGAGGAAAGAGGGCUAGUGGAGGAGUGUAGAGGGCUAGUGGAGGAGUGUGGAGGGCUAGUGGAGGAGUGUGUAGAGGGCUAGUGGAGGAAUGUGGAAGGCUAGUGGAGGAGUGUUUAGAGGGCUAGUGGAGGAGUGUAGAGGGCUAGUGGAGGAGAGUAGAGGGCCAGUGGAGGAGUGUUGAGGGCUAGUGCAGGAGUGUGGAGGGCUAGUGGAGGAGUGUGUAGAGGGCUAGUGGAGGAGUGUGUAUAGGGCUAGUGGAGGAGAGUGUAGAGGGCUAGUGGAGGAGGAAAGAGGGCUAGUGGAGGAGAGUGUGGAGGGCUAGUGGAGGAGUGUGUAGAGGGCUAGUGGAGAAGUGUGUAUAGGGCUAGUGGAGGAGUGAGUAGAGGGCUAGUGUAGGAGUGUAGAGGGCUAGUGGAGGAGUGUGUAGAGGGCUUGUGGAGGAGUAAAGAGGGCUAGUGGAGGAGUGUGUAGAGCGCUAGUGGAGGAGUGUGUAGAGGGCUAGUGGAGCAGUGUGACGAGGGCUAGUGGAGGACUGUGGAGACGGCAAGUGGAGGAGUGUAGAGAGCUAGUGGAGGAGUGUGGAGGGCUAGUGGAGGAGGGUGGAGGGCUAGUGGAGGAGUGUAGAAGGCUAGUGGAGGAGUGUGGAGGGCUAGUGGAAGAGUGUGUAGAGGGCUAGUGGAGGUGUGUGGAGGGCUAGUGGGGGAGUGUGGAGGGCUAGUGGAGGAGUGUAGAGGGCUAGUGGAGGAGUGUGUAGAGGGCUAGUGGAGGUGUGUGGAGGGCUAGUGGAGGAGUGUAGAGGGCUAGUGGAGGUGUGUAGAGGGCUAGUGGAAGAGUGUAGAGGGCUAGUGGAGGAGUGUGUAGAGAGCUAGUGGAGGAGUGUGGAGGGCUAGUGGAGGAGUGUGGAGGGCUAGUGGAGGAGUGUAUAGAGGGCUAGUGGAGGAGUGUAUAGGGCUAGUGGAGGAGUGUGUAGAGGGCUAGUGGAGGACUGUGGAGAGGGCAAGUGGAGGAGUGUAGAGAGCUAGUGGAUGAGUGUGGAGGGCUAGUGGAGGAGUGUAGAGGGCUAGUGGAGGAGUGUGGAGGGCUAGUGGAGGAGUGUGUAGAGGGCUAGCGGAGGAGUGUGUAGAGGGCUAGUGGAGGAGUGUGUAGAGGGCUAGUGGAUGAGUGUGGAGGGCUAGUGGAGGAGUGUAGAGGGCUAGUGGAGGAGUGUGGAGGGCUAGUGGAGGAGUGUGUAGAGGGCUAGUGGAGGAAUGUGGAGGGCUAGUGGAGGAGUGUUUAGAGGGCUAGUGGAGGAGUGUAGAGGGCUAGUGGAGGAGUGUAGAGGGCUAGUGGAGGAGUGUGGAGGGCUAGUGGAGGAGUGUAGAGGGCUAGUGGAGGAGUGUAGAGGGCUAGUGGAGGAGUGUGGAGGGCUAGUGGAGGAGUGUAGAGGGCUAGUGGAGUGUAGAGGGCUAGUGGAGGAGUGUGGAGGGCUAGUGGAGGAGUGUAGAGGGCUAGUGGAGGAGUGUGUAGAGGGCUAGUGGAGGUGUGUGGAAGGCUAGUGGAGGAGUGUGUAGAGGGCUAGUGGAGGAGUGUAGAGGGCUAGUGGAGGAGUGUGUAGAGGGCUAGUGGAGGUGUGUGGAAGGCUAGUGGAGAAGUGUAGAGGGCUAGUGGAGGUGUGUAGAGGGCUAGUGGAGGAUUGUGGAGGGCUAGUGGAGGAGUGUGUAGAAAGCUAGUGGAGGAGUGUGGAGGGCUAGUGGAGGAGUGUGGAGGGCUUGUGGAGGAGAGUGUAGAGGGCUAGUGGAGGAGUGUGUAGAGGGCUAGUGGAGGACUGUGGAGAGGGCAAGUGGAGGAGUGUAGAGAGCUAGUGGAGGAGUGUGUAGAGAAGGCAUGGAAUAGAGACAUGAAUAGGCUCACUAGCCUCCCUGGCCUCUCAUGCCCCCCCUCGACCUUGUUAUUCCUUCCUGUCCCGCUCUCCCUCUCCUCCUCCCUCUCCCUGGUGGUGUCCAUGGAUUGAUGAGGAAUUGAAAAACUGUAUAGUUGAAAGAGAUGGGGCAAAGGAAGUGGCUAAUAAGUCUGGCUGCACGUCUGACUGGCUGACUUUGAAGUACUUAA